rnacentral:rRNA from 1 species
GAUGAACGCUGGCGGCGUGCCUAAUACAUGCAAGUCGAGCGAAUGGAUUGAGAGCUUGCUCUUAUGAAGUUAGCGGCGGACGGGUGAGUAACACGUGGGUAACCUGCCCAUAAGACUGGGAUAACUCUGGGAAACCGGGGCUAAUACCGGAUAACAUUUUGAACCGCAUGGUUCGAAAUUGAAAGGCGGCUUCGGCUGUCACUUAUGGAUGGACCCGCGUCGCAUUAGCUAGUUGGUGAGGUAACGGCUCACCAAGGCAACGAUGCGUAGCCGAACUGAGAGGGGGAUCGGCCACACUGGGACUGAGACACGGCCCAGACUCCUACGGGAGGCAGCAGUAGGGAAUCUUCCGCAAUGGACGAAAGUCUGACGGAGCAACGCCGCGUGAGUGAUGAAGGCUUUCGGGUCGUAAAACUCUGUUGUUAGGGAAGAACAAGUGCUAGUUGAAUAAGCUGGCACCUUGACGGUACCUAACCAGAAAGCCACGGCUAACUACGUGCCAGCCGCCGCAGUAA